UCCUCCUCCUCCUCUCUCUCUCUCUCUCUCUCUCUCUCUCCUCCAUGAAUUUUGUAGUCCGAAGAAAACCCCCACUGUUCUCGAUCUCUCGCCCCCUUCCUCUGCUCCCAAACCCUGCCUGCCAUGCGUCGGCUGCCGGAGAGGCCUCCGCCAGCCGCCGAUCUCGCUACUCCACCGCCGUCCCCGGGGAGAAGGGAUCGCCUUCGUCGUCGUUGUCCUCCUCCUCCAAGUUCCCUGAGUACGAGCUUCCGUCGGUGACAUGGGGCGUCAUCCAGGGGCGCAAGGAGCGCCUGGUGUCGCGCGUCAUCAUCUCCGACUAUCUCAAGUCUCUGGGCAUCGCCCCCGACGAGCUCGCCGACCUCGAGCUGCCCUCCUCCGUCGACGUCAUGAGCGAGCGCGUCGACUUCCUCACCCGCCUUGGCCUCUCCGUCGAUGACCUCAACGCCUACCCGCUCCUCCUUGCUUGCAGCGUCCGCAAGAACAUGAUACCCGUCCUCGGCUACCUCGAGAAGCUCGGCGUUCCUCGUCCCCGCCUCGGCGAAUUUGUCCGCGCCUACCCUCAGGUCCUCCACGCCAGUGUCGUCGUCGAGCUCGCACCCGUCGUCAAGUUCCUCCGCGGCCUCGACGUCGAGCGAUCUGACAUCCCCUAUGUCCUCCAGCGCUAUCCGGAGCUCCUAGGCUUCAAGCCCGAGGGCACCAUGAGCACCUCCGUCGGCUACCUCGUCAGCAUCGGCCUCUGGCCCCGGGACAUCGGACCCAUGGUCACCCAAUACCCCUUCUUCCUUGGCAUGCGCGUCGGCACCACCAUCAAGCCGCUCGUUGAGUUCUUGGUGUCCCUUGGCUUCCCCAAGCGGAUCCUCGCCAAGAUGCUCGAGAAGCGACCCUACAUCCUUGGCUAUGAUCUCGAGGAGACAGUCAAGCCAAAUGUUGAUGCUCUCCUCAGUUUUGGGGUGCGCAGAGAGUCCCUGCCAUCGGUCAUCGCCCAAUUCCCCCAGAUUCUCGGACUGCCCCUCAAAGCUAAGCUCUCGACGCAGCAAUACUUCUUCAAUUUGAAACUCAAGAUAGAUCCUGAUGGGUUCACGCGGGCGAUGGAGAAGAUGCCCCAGAUUGUAAGUCUCCAUCAAAGUGUUAUGUUGAAGCCUAUCGAGUUUUUACGGGGCCGUGGCAUCCCGGAUGAGGAUGUGGCUAACAUGGUCGUCAAGUGUCCUCAGUUGCUUGCCUGUCGGGUCGAGCUUAUGAAGAAUAGCUAUUACUUCUUCAAGAGUGAGAUGAAACAGCCCGUGCAGGAGUUGUUUGAGUUCCCAGAGUACUUUACAUAUAGCCUAGAGUCCCGGAUCAAGCCAAGGUACCAGAGGCUGGUAAAUAAAGGAAUCAGAUGUAAACUGGAUUGGUUCUUGAAUUGUAGCGAUCAGAGGUUCGAGGAGAGGUUGCGGGGUGAUUAUAUUGAGGCAGAUGCCCCGGGCCCUUCUUUUGUCAUGGGUGGGAAAUUAGAAAUGCCAAGAAGCCACUUGGUCUCGGACAAAGAGGAGGAUGAAAGUGAUGAGGAAGUGCUCUACCGACGAACCAUUUCACUUUAGUAGGUCAGCUUUCUACAGUGAACUGAACUGCCUUUGGAAUAUUCAUACUUCAAGCCAUGUAUUUGAUCAUCUGUUUCUUUCACGCUUGCUGUCAAACUGCCUCCAUCAACCUCCUAUUUUCUCUAGAAAGAAAUCCACUAAGCUAGUUGUUGUAGCUGUUGUGGACUCAUUUAUUCAUUUUAGUGACAUCGUUUUGACCAAGAAAUUUGGAGUCCAAAUUAAACAAUGAGGUGCAAAAUAUUUCUGGGCCUGCCUCUGCAAGCAUUUGGUUCAGGUCAACUAAAUGGAGGAUUUAACUUAUAUGAUCUGGAAAAUCUUCCCAGUAGAAUGACUUUCAUCAAAGCAUAUACCCGUCUCCAAGGACAGAUGAAAGGCUGGAAUUGCAUGGCACAUGCUAUCAUCAGACCUGUGGUCUACUUGUCUCUGUGUAAUUAUAUUUUCAUAAUUGUAUUAUCAAAUAUGGUGCCAUUUCAUAUUGUGAGGUGGAUUUUGGUACUAAUCUCAUGAUUGUUCCCCCACCUUUUCUGGUGGAUUAUUUGUCCAUGACAAUGGCCAGGUAGCAAGUUUUACCUAAGUGUUGCUCAUCCAUGAAGGCUUCAUCCUGGUUGGUGUUUACCCAUAUGGAGUCUGGUACAAAGUUAGAAUGCAAAUAAGAAUUUUCGGUGGAUUUUUGGUAGUUGAUUUUUUUUUUUUUUUUUUUCGGUCAGUUGUGUUUUCAUAACAUAUUGAGUGUGUUGAGGUCCUACAAUUGGACAGCUAUUUCUAUAGAGUUCAUUAUAAGUUAUCUA